UCCCCGUUGCCGAGGCAGUCUAGCUAGAAAAAUCCAACUAACUAUAAGGGUUGCGCUCGUUGAUGGACUUAACCAAACAUCUCACGACACGAGCUGACGACGGCCAUGCAACACCUGUCACUUGGUUCCAAAAGGCACUAACUACUUUCGUAGAAAUCCCAAGGAUGUCAAGUCCUGGUAAGGUUCUCCGUUUAGCAUCGAAUUAAAGAACACGAUCCACCGCUUGUGCGGGUCCCCGUCAAUUCCUUUAUGUUUUAGUCUUGCGACCGUACUCCACAGGCGGGAUACUUAACGCGUUAGCUUCGCUACAGAGGGGGUCGAUACCCCCUACAGCUAGUAUCCAUCGUUUACGGCGUGGACUAC
rnacentral:misc_RNA from 1 species